GACGAACGCUGGCGGCGUGCUUAACACAUGCAAGUCGAACGGAAAGGCCCUGCUUUUGUGGGGUGCUCGAGUGGCGAACGGGUGAGUAACACGUGAGUAACCUGCCCUUGACUUUGGGAUAACUUCAGGAAACUGGGGCUAAUAGCGGAUAGGAGCUCCUGCUGCAUGGUGGGGGUUGGAAAGUUUCGGCGGUGGGGGAUGGACUCGCGGCUUAUCAGCUUGUUGGUGGGGUAGUGGAUUACCAAGGCGUUGAGGAGUAGCCGGCCUGAGAGGGUGGGCGGCAAUGGUGGGACGGAGCGACGGCGAAGCCUCCGGCGGGAAGCAGUGGUGGAGAAUAUUGCACAGUGGGCAGAAGGAUGAAGCAGCACCGCCGCGUGCGGGAUGACGGCCUUCGUGUAGUAACCCGCUUUCGACUGUGACGAAGCGUGAGUGACGGUAAUGGGUAAAGAAGCACCGGCUAACUACGUG
rnacentral:rRNA from 1 species